AACGAACGCUGGCGGCAGGCCUAACACAUGCAAGUCGAACGAAGCCUUAGGGCUUAGUGGCGGACGGGUUAGUAACGCGUGGGAAUAUGCCCUUGGGUACGGAACAACAGCUGGAAACGGCUGCUAAUACCGUAUGAUGUCUACGGACCAAAGAUUUAUCGCCCAAGGAUUAGCCCGCGUUGGAUUAGAUAGUUGGUGGGGUAACGGCUUACCAAGGCUUCGAUGGGUAGCUGGUCUGAGAGGAUGAUCAGCCACACUGGAACUGAGACACGGUCCAG
rnacentral:rRNA from 1 species